CUCACUGCUCCUCAGCGUGUUUGUGUGGGUUUUCUCAUCAGAUUUUUCCGUGUCGUUGCUUUCUUUCUUUUUCGUCUCUUUCCCUCGAGAACGCAUGGCGAUUUGGGUGACUACGUGGCCGAUCUUCGCCCGAAACUUGUGUUUCCGGUGCCGUAAUCCGGUCCCUUUCUUCUUCCUUUCAUUCUCCUUUCCCCCUUUCUUCUUUUCUCUUCUUCUUUUAUGAAUCUUUUUUGGUUUCUUUUUUUUCUUGAUUUGGGUGACCCAUCAGAUUAGAACUCCAUCGCCAGAAUCCUAAAUGGGUAGAUCAUUUGAUAGAGCAAAUGGGUUUUGGUUUUUGCCGGAUUCUAAUCGGAAAUAGUACGAUUAUCGGAUUAUGAAUCCAAAAACGGUGAAUUAUGUCUCUCGUUUUACAUUUUAACCACUUGUAACACGCCACGUCAUCAGUUUCUCGUGUUCGUAUUGUUUUUCUUUAUUUGAUUUCAUUUCUUCCAAGUAUCGUGCAUGGAAUGUGGGAUUUAAUUGAACACAGUCGGUGUUUGCAGGUGUAGCAUCAUCAAGAUUCACAUGCAAUGCUUUUGGCCGGUUAUGUAAUCUCUGGUCUGAUCUCUGAAAGUGAGAAUCUUGAUGAUGCUGCAUCAGCAAUAAACGGCUAUAUGACCUACAAAUGAAUGUCAAGAUCUUUCGUCAUAAAUCGAAAUCCAUUCUCUAACUGUUCAUGGAUAUUCACCGCGAUGUGAAGGACAGAGCUAGUGGAAUACCUUCCAAGGGUAAGAGAUCUGACAAAUAGGACCUUUCAAAAGGUGGUUUAGUCUUGAUUGCCCGUUUGGGUUGAUCUUUGUUGUAUAGUUCAUUUUCGGGUUCAAACUAUGGAUUCAACUACAGAGAAACAAAAGAAGCUUGCCAACAAUCAAGGAUACUUAUAAAAGAUGGGUUUUUUUAUUCAAGGUAAGGGGAAAUGAGUUUAUACUGAUCCUUUUUUUUUUCAUUAGCCCUUUUUAUUUUUGGGGGGUUAAACCUGUUUGUCUUGGGUUUGUAUGGAAGUGUGCAGAUGGUUUACUGUUGGUUAUUGAUAGAAACCAAAGUAAGAGUUGUGAAGAUUUAGGGUUUUGUGUGAAUUGGUAAGGAGAUUUUUAAUGUUUAUGUUGAUUACUUUGAUGCGCAUAUAGGGUAUUCUUCCAAGUCUUUUGUCUAAUGAGAGUGGUGAGUUUUGAAACAGGCAAACCAAUGCCCUAGAAACUUGAAUAGCAAAUCGUUUUGAGAACAGUUCACAUUGUCACCACCCCACCUUGGCUGUGUUGCUUUUACUCUUUAACUCACUUACUUGCCCCAUCAAUCCAUCACUCAAUCAUGUAGGGUUGGACCAUCUUAAAGACAUCUUUGCUAACUGGUCCUUUAGGUAGGAAAAGCUCUCUCUCUCUCUCUCUCUCUCUCUCUCUCAGAUUCAAUUACUCCAUUUUUCUGCUCUUCAAUAAUAGCACCACAUGUUAUCCCCCCUAAAAAAAAAAAAAAAAAGCACCACAGAGUAUCAAAAAGAGAGUACCAAAUUUCAUGGCCUAAGUGGGAGGCUUAAGGGAUGUUUUCUCCAAGGGCUUGAAUUUAAAUAUCUAGGGAUGAUAUACUAUGAUAGGAUGAAGAGAGUCUCUAGUUCUUGAGAAAGUGACAAUCCAUUCAUUCAAGUUUAGAGAAAUCUGUGUACUUCUUUGAAGACCUGUGGCUUGCUUGAAUUUUUCUUUGGCCUUAAUUAGAAAUCAAUCUAAUUAGCCAGUUAUUAUACUUCAUCAAAACCUAAUAGAGUGUUUUCUUUUCUUGUCUCUAAAUUCUGCUGUCAUUUUUUUCUUUCUUUCUUUUGGGUGAUUGAUUUUAGUGAUUCACGCCCAUGUCAAGCUCCUCAGUAUGCUGGAAAGAUAUAUAGCGUCUUAUGUAGUUAACAUCCACUUGGGGAAAUAGAAAUUUGGGAUUAAGGUAUAUACUUUUUCCUUUCUUGGCUCAAUGAGGCAUAAACUGUUAUGACUAUCUCUCAAUCCUUCUCAAUUACUGUAUUUCUUAUCAGUCUUCUACAAGGAACUUGUUAGUUUCAUAUAUGAGUGUAUCAAUUUUUUAUUGGUCAAUCACAUUGUAGCUAUCCCUUAGCAUAGAUACAUGCCCACAGGCAUGUAUGAACCAUUUGUCUUUAAGAUACAUGUGAUAUUGGAAUCUCAUUAGCAUUACCCUAUUAAAGGACUACAUUUGUAAAUUGUUUCCACUAAAAAAAAAUAAAAUGCACUAUGUCAUGGUAGUUGUUUCCACUAAGAAAAGUGUCACCUUUGGGUGACAUCUGUGAAACUAACAACUAGGUCUUUUAGUUUUGAAUGUGUGAUAGAUUAUUCUUGUUAGAUGUGGUUUAGGGUAAGCACUAGCUACAUUGUUCCAUUGUUUUCUUGAUAAGCCAUUGUUUUAUUCCACAAUUAACUUUAAACUAGUUGAGGGCAGAUGUCACACUCAUACUAAUCAUAACAGAAUCUCCCAACUAUAAGAAUGAAACAACAAAGCUGAUGGGUAUAUUCUAGAUAAUAGGAAUAUAUUAGUAAUGAUAUAGGGUUAAAACAAGUUUAUUUAGACUAAGUUUUGUAACCUUUGAUUUUCACUGUUGGAGAAACCUAAUUAAGUGGAAAGCCCAUUUAAAGAUUAGGAGAGAAAACCUUAUUAGCAAACACAGUAUGGAUUAGCUUCUUUCCUUUUUUUUUUUUGCAAACACAGUAUCAUUAAAACAUGUGUAUUGUUCCCAUAAGAUUUGGUGAGGAAGUUUGUGCCAAAUUGUUUUAUUUUUGACGCAAAGAGACUGAUAGUAUCCCAAAGGAUGUGAUGUUAGGAUGUUACCGACAAAAGAGUUGACAGCUGAAUUGAAUGGGAGAUGACUCUUUUCUGAUUUCAAGGUGUCAUGCAUGGCAGCAUGGGGACAGAGUGGAUUUGAUUCUAUAUGGAAAGGGUGAAGCUUCCUUUAUUUUCUAAGAUCUUUCUUUACUUUCUAAGAGAUUAAUAAGAAGCUUUGUGAGGCUAAAAAAGGAAAUAAAAGAAUAUAGGAAUUUCAUCCAGAGUGGAAAAUAAUGUUCACUAAAGUCAUCAGUCACUGACAUCUUACCGGACCUUUGCUUCUGCUCCACCAACUUUUGAUCUUCAACCAUUAUAAAGCUUGGAUAACAGAUAAAAAUAUAUAUAAUGAAAUUUUUAGAAGUAAAUCAUUGUAACCAAACUCACUUCUAUCAAUAUCUAACAAAACCUUAAUCAAUGCUCUUCUUUAUUAGAACAGUGGUUGCUAGUUGUUUUGGUUUCUUAGCAAAAAAAAAUAAAAAAAUGUUGUUUUGGUUUAUUAACUUCUUUGAAUUAGUUCAAUGGGAAAUGCUCAAUUUUCCCCCUAGAUGUUCUUACUAAUGAAAUGCAGAAGGGGAUCAGGAUAUUACCAGAGAGACCAAGAAACUUAUGUUUAAGUGAAAUGGUUAUUCCAAGAAAAUUUGAUCCAUAUAGAUAUGAAUGAAGAAAGGAUGUCUUAGAAAUUCAUGGAAAAUGCAAGGGAACCAGGUCCUUGUGGGCAUGCAUUAGCAUUCUCAGGUGCAUAUUGUGCCUUCACCUUGCUUAAUAAUGUCCUUCUCUCUUUGUUAUUUAUUGUGCAAUAUGCAUCUAAGUCUGUCCAUUGUGCUGUAGUGCUAGUAGAGUAGAUCAAUUUCAUUGAAACACCCUUCACCCCUUCUUACAUCAACAAAAAAAUCUUUCAACAUCUUUUGUGUUAUAGUGUUUCCCAUUUUUGGAACAAUGUGUUUUGCGCAUAAUAUAUUUUCUAUGGAUAAUUUUUGGACAAAAAGGAAUUGUGACCUUUGAUGACUACCAUAAAUAUUGGAGGGGUGAAUUUACAUACCAUGUUUAAGAUAGGUAUUUGGAACUAUUAUGCUAGUGGUAAUUACCCAAAUUUCAAUUCAUAUUUAUGGGAAAAUUAGUUCCUACACUCCUUGGUUGGAGCCCAAUUCCACUAUUUUUUUGGUCACAUUGAUGGCUAAUGAUAUGGUUAUUCUAACCAUUGGAUAAAGAGGUUGUGAUCUAGAUUAUCCAUAUUACAAAUUUUAAAGUCUAAUUCAAUCAAAUACCCUCUCAUGUAUUGACAUGCAUUCUUAUGUGUCUAAUGCAUUCCUAUGGCAUUCUAACAUUACGGGCACUCUCCCAUACCCUUGGAUUUUAAAAGUCUUGGUUUUCCAUUUAACAAACUCCAAUAUAGUUGAAACUUGACAUGUUGACUAGAAAACCUAGGAAUCUACUAGUUCACAAAAUUUGGGCAUGAUCUAAUAUGUGGUGUGGCAAUGGGCACAUAGAAAGGAUUCCUAUCAUAGGCAUAUAGGAAUUGGGCCCCCCACGUUUAAAUACAAAAUUUUGUUAUCUAUGAUAAUUAAGGUUUAAACCAUAACUAUUUAUUUUCUCCUUUUUUUUUUGGCAACAUUUUACCUAACUUUCAAUCUUCGGAAAAAAAUUGAAAUGUAUAUUGUGAAUAAUGUAAUUAAUUUUGAUUAAGUUUUCCUGCACCUAUGGUGAAAGAGAAUCUCCUUUCCACUAGUGAUUGGACUACUCCUAUGUCAUCGUUAAUUCCCACCUUAUUGUACUAUCUAGGUCAUCGUGAGGAUAUUCUCUCUUCACUAUGGGUGAAGAGAAACUUGGUCCAUCAAUUUUUGUCUACAAGAUUUCUUUGAUAAAUUAAUGUGAAGUUCUUGGCCUAGGGGACUAGAAAGAAAUUCUUGGUCUACAUAUAUGUCUAUAUACCACAUGAUAUGUUGGAUGAGGCUGAAAUUUUGUGGGCCAAUGGACUACAAAGUCCCUUUGCUCACAUAUUAAGUUUCAAUGAUCAACACAAAGUUUGCAAAGUGGAAAAACAAAGCAUUGACAAAUUAGGAGAGCUAUUCAAUAGUGGUUAUUAGAAUACCAAUAGUCAUGAAUGGAUAUAUAUGGGGAUGCAUACUAAUACAUAGAAGGGUAUUUGAUUGAAUUAAACUAAGAAGUUUUACAUGUGGAUAAUCUAGAUCGUAUUCUAUCUAUCCAAUAGUGUAAUCUACCAUAUCACCUUUUUUUGUGCAUGGUUGUCCAUGCAUCCAAUUACUUGUACUUUCUUUUAACAGGCAAUGAAGGUUGGCAUUUGAUCCAUGGACAACCAUAGACAAAGGGUAAUUCAAAUCACUUACUUGAGGUGAAAAAUAAGCUGACAAUAGGGAUUAAUGAUGUUUGAUUCAAAGUGCUAAGUAAGUCUCAUCAUUCCAUUUUAUACUAACCCAUCAGAUUGAACGUUUGGUACCAUAUCAAUCAUAACAUUAUUGAAUUGAUUUUGAGAAAAGAGAAUAAUGUAGAAGAAUUAGAAAGAUAGACAAAACUAAAGUAACCAAAAGAGAGAUCUAGAGAGAGAGAAAGAGACCAAUCUCGAUGGACAAACUGAUUCAUGGUGCAGCAUUGUACUGUCCUUUGGUUUGCUUUCCUCAUGAAUUGAGAACAGAGAACCCCACUAAGCUAUGGUCUCUCUCUCUCUCUCUCUACAUAUUCAUACGUAGAAUAAUAAUUACAUCGUACCGCCUCACUGAGCAUAAUAUUUGUGUAUCUAUAAGGUACCCUCUCACAUCUCUCGAUACUCCCCAUUAAGCUUUCACAGCAAAUCCAAAACAGCCAAUGUAGCUUCCAUGGCAUCCAACGUUGGAGGAUAAUCCUUUUUCCUUCUCAAGAUUUGAAUACAAACAAGAAGUUCCAAUCCAACGGUAACUAAGGAUAAUUAGGGUCUCCCUCAAGCUUCAAUUCCUGUCUGUAAUAAAGCUCCAAGGAGAGUACAGAUUGGAAUCAAAUGAUGAUUCAGAUCCCAUGUGAAUAGGGAAAACCCAUGGUCCCAUAUUGGUCCCCCACAACCUUAUGUAAGUCUUUUACUUCAUCAUGCAUCAGUGGUCCAUACGUAGUUGGGGACACACGUGUCACACAUGCAAGGGUGGUUGAUAUGAGUGAAGAGCUCUUGAAUAGUCACAGCCGCGUGAUCUGGAGUAGACCCACCUGAUCCGUAUACAUAAUAUGCACAGUACAGAGGUCAUUGGUGAAGAGAGGGAGAGAGAAGAAGAAGAAUACGUCAGGAGGUCAUCACUCAUCAAAGAAAGAAUUGAAGAAUGAAUGGUAACAGUACAAUGAUUCAUGGCGUGUCCACCAGGUCCAUCCAUUGCUCCAUUACCCCAUUAACGCUUUUUCUGUUUAGGUUGGUUGGUUGGGUCUCUUCUUACGUAGAACCUUUACCUGUAAAAAUCUUAUACGGAUAUUCUCUCAUUUAAGUUUAAAAGGUCCUCUCUCUCUCUCUCUCUCUCUCUCUCUAAGGAGGAAAGUCGUGACCUCCUUCAAAAAGGAAUAUUUGUUUCCAGUUUCUACAAGAGGUAACAGCGUAGUUUCCGCAAGAGGUGAUCGAAAGUAUAAGAGUAUUAUUGUCACUUUAUUUCAUUUACUGGUUUAAUUGUUGGGUCGCAUCUGGUUUUGGAGUAUGUAAUAAUUGAAUCUUAGAGUAUAGAGUUGGCCAAGUCAAUGUUUUCAAAGACUUUUCUAUUUUUAUUGUCAUUAUUCCUUCACGAAGUUCAUAAUAUCCUAUAGUACCCUAAUUCUCCCUUCAGCCACUUAUUCUGGUAGGGAUUUUGUGGUUAAGAUCGAAACACUAUGUCUAUGCUUCCUUCCC